AUUGAACGCUGGCGGCAGGCCUAACACAUGCAAGUCGAACGGUAACAGGAAGAAGCUUGCUUCUUUGCUAACGAGUGGCGGACGGGUGUGUAAUGUCUGGGAAACUGCCUGAUGGAGGGGGAUAACUACUGGAAACGGUAGCUAAUACCGCAUAACGUCGCAAGACCAAAGAGGGGGACCUUCGGGCCUCUUGCCAUCGGAUGUGCCCAGAUGGGAUUAGCUAGUAGGUGGGGUAACGGCUCACCUAGGCGACGAUCCCUAGCUGGUCUGAGAGGAUGACCAGCCACACUGGAACUGAGACACGGUCCAGACUCCUACGGGAGGCAGCAGUGGGGAAUAUUGCACAAUGGGCGCAAGCCUGAUGCAGCCAUGCCGCGUGUAUGAAGAAGGCCUUCGGGUUGUAAAGUACUUUCAGCGGGGAGGAAGGGAGUAAAGUUAAUACCUUUACUCAUUGACGUUACCCGCAGAAGAAGCACCGGCUAACUCCGUG
rnacentral:rRNA from 1 species